GAUGAACGCUGGCGGCGUGCCUAAUACAUGCAAGUCGAGCGAACAGACGAGGAGCUUGCUCCUCUGACGUUAGCGGCGGACGGGUGAGUAACACGUGGAUAACCUACCUAUAAGACUGGGAUAACUUCGGGAAACCGGAGCUAAUACCGGAUAAUAUGUUGAACCGCAUGGUUCAACAGUGAAAGACGGUUUUGCUGUCACUUAUAGAUGGAUCCGCGCCGCAUUAGCUAGUUGGUAAGGUAACGGCUUACCAAGGCAACGAUGCGUAGCCGACCUGAGAGGGUGAUCGGCCACACUGGAACUGAGACACGGUCCAGACUCCUACGGGAGGCAGCAGUAGGGAAUCUUCCGCAAUGGGCGAAAGCCUGACGGAGCAACGCCGCGUGAGUGAAGAAGGUCUUCGGAUCGUAAAACUCUGUUAUUAGGGAAGAACAAAUGUGUAAGUAGCUAUGCACGUCUUGACGGUACCUAAUCAGAAAGCCACGGCUAACUACGUG
rnacentral:rRNA from 1 species